UACGUAGGGGGCAAGCGUUGUCCGGAAUUAUUGGGCGUAAAGCGCGCGCAGGCGGCUUUGUAAGUCUGUCGUUUAAGUUCGGGGCUCAACCCCGUAUCGCGAUGGAAACUGCAAGGCUUGAGUGCAGAAGAGGAAAGUGGAAUUCCACGUGUAGCGGUGAAAUGCGUAGAGAUGUGGAGGAACACCAGCGGCGAAGGCGGCGCUCUGGGCCGGAACUGACGCUGAGGAGCGAAAGCGUGGGUAGCAAACAGG
rnacentral:rRNA from 1 species